AAGUUUGAUCCUGGCUUAGGAUGAACGCUGGUAGUAUGCUUAACACAUGCGAGUCGAAUGGUUAAAGAAUCAUGGCGAACGGGUGAGUAACAAAUAGGAAUCUACCUUUUAGUUAAGUUAAAUACUUAAUAAAAACUUGAAACACUUAAUGUUAAUAAUGUACAAUAAUUAUUGGCAUUUUAAUAAAAAAGGUUUUAAAGUUUGAAAGAGAAACGAUCGCUAAAAAAUGAGCCUAUUCAAGAUUAGGUAGUUGGUAAAUUAAAAGCUUACCAAGCCAACGAUCUUUAGCUGGUCUGAAAGGACGGUCAGCCACACUGGGACUGAGACAAGGCCCAGGCUUCAAACCGAAGCCAGCAGUGAGGAAUUUUGGACAAUGAGCGAAAGCUUGAUCCAGCAAUACUACGUGAAAGAUGACGGCUCAAUGGCCUUAAAUUUCUUUCAUUAGGGAGGAUAAAGACAGUACCUAAAGAAGAAGCCCCGGCUAACUUCGUGCCAGCAGCCGCGGUAAUAC
rnacentral:rRNA from 12 species